rnacentral:rRNA from 1 species
UACGGGGGGUGCAAGCGUUGCUCGGAAUUAUUGGGCGUAAAGCGUACGCAGGCGGCUCUACAAGUCGAGUGUGAAAACCCGGGGCUCAACCCCGGACUGGCAUUCGAAACUGUCGGGCUUGAGUGCGGGAGAGGGAAGCGGAAUUCCUGGUGUAGAGGUGAAAUUCGUAGAUAUCAGGAGGAACACCGGUGGCGAAAGCGGCUUCCUGGCCCGAUACUGACGCUCAUGUACGAAAGCGUGGGGAGCAAACAGG